GGGGAAUAUUGCACAAUGGGGGAAACCCUGAUGCAGCGACGCCGCGUGGAGGAAGAAGGUCUUCGGAUUGUAAACUCCUGUUGUUGAGGAAGAUAAUGACGGUACUCAACAAGGAAGUGACGGCUAACUACGUGCCAGCAGCCGCGGUAAAACGUAGGUCACAAGCGUUGUCCGGAAUUACUGGGUGUAAAGGGAGCGCAGGCGGGAAGACAAGUUGGAAGUGAAAUCUAUGGGCUCAACCCAUAAACUGCUUUCAAAACUGUUUUUCUUGAGUAGUGCAGAGGUAGGCGGAAUUCCCGGUGUAGCGGUGGAAUGCGUAGAUAUCGGGAGGAACACCAGUGGCGAAGGCGGCCUACUGGGCACCAACUGACGCUGAGGCUCGAAAGUGUGGGUAGCAAACAGGAUUAGAUACCCUGGUAGUCCACACCGUAAACGAUGAUUACUAGGUGUUGGAGGAUUGACCCCUUCAGUGCCGCAGUUAACACAAUAAGUAAUCCACCUGGGGAGUACGACCGCAAGGUUGAAACUCAAAGGAAUUGACGGGGGCCCGCACAAGCAGUGGAGUAUGUGGUUUAAUUCGACGCAACGCGAAGAACCUUACCAAGUCUUGACAUCCCUUGACGAACAUAGAAAUAUGUUUUCUCUUCGGAGCAAGGAGACAGGUGGUGCAUGGUUGUCGUCAGCUCGUGUCGUGAGAUGUUGGGUUAAGUCCCGCAACGAGCGCAACCCUUAUGGUCAGUUACUACGCAAGAGGACUCUGGCCAGACUGCCGUUGACAAAACGGAGGAAGGUGGGGAUGACGUCAAAUCAUCAUGCCCUUUAUGACUUGGGCUACACACGUACUACAAUGGCGUUAAACAAAGAGAAGCAAGACCGCGAGGUGGAGCAAAACUCAGAAACAACGUCCCAGUUCGGACUGCAGGCUGCAACUCGCCUGCAGGAAGUCGGAAUUGCUAGUAAUCGUGGAUCAGCAUGCCACGGUGAAUACGUUCCCG
rnacentral:rRNA from 1 species